GCUUGCUUAAUAUCCUUUAUAUCUCAAAAGAGAUUGACUCAAGAUACGCCCUACACUAAUCCUCACUCAUUAACAUAACAAAGACAGCCCAUUCCUAAAUGAGAUUAUAACCGCAGGCAUAGAGGUCAGGAUCUAUAACACAUAUUUUGGGGGGGGGACAUAAUUCAAUUAAUAACAGUACAUAACUUCUCAAGUGCCCUUUGGACCAGUUUUAACAUCUUACCAGCUCCCUUGAUUAAUUAAAUUAAUCUGUCAGAGAAUCAAAAUUUUUUUUUAACCUUUCUGAAAAUUAUGCUUUAACAAUAUUUUGUGACCAUUUUGGUUUAGCUAUUUUCUCAAUGAUUUGAAAGAAUUUUUCAAAUGUGUUUAUAUAUUUUUGUGAUUAGACUUUGCAUACGUGGUGGUUUUAAAUAUAUAUCCACAAAUUAUUUGCUACUUCUCCCUUCAAGACAUAGUUUUCUUCUCCUCCCUCUGAAUGUGGGCUGGACUUGGUGACUCACUAACCGUGUAAAGCAGAAGUGACAGUAGGUUACACCUGAGGCUUGAUGGUAAGAAAUCACUGCGGCUUUCUGCUGGUUGUUGUCUCUUCAGAUUGCUCACUUUGCAGGGAGCCAGCUGUUAUGUCAAGAGCCUUAAGCAGAGGCCUGUGUGAGUCAAUCCCUAGAUGAUGAGGCUGGCAUACUGUUUAUUGCACUAAAAAAAUUCUAACACCUGGUGUGGCUUGAGGACAUGGACUUUGGCUCAGAAGUCUAAAGUUACCAAAUUGAUAGAAGAAAUAAUAAUAGCAUCUAACAUCAUAGAACAUCCACUAUGUGUCAGGCACUGUUCCUAAGCAGUGGUGUACCGGCCCUCAUCACUGGGCUUCAGAGGUUCAAUCUGCAGUGAGGCAUCGCCUGCCAGGAAAUUGGAAGCAAAGGCUACUCGGCCCUUCUGUUCUUCCGUCAAGUUGUUG